GAAGAACCUUACCUACCCUUGACAUGGCAGAAAUCCUCGAGAGAUUGAGGAGUGCUCGAAAGAGAAUCUGCACACAGGUGCUGCAUGGCUGUCGUCAGCUCGUGUCGUGAGAUGUUGGGUUAAGUCCCGCAACGAGCGCAACCCUUGUCAUUAGUUGCUACGAAAGAGCACUCUAAUGAGACUGCCGGUGACAAACCGGAGGAAGGUGGGGAUGACGUCAAGUCCUCAUGGCCCUUAUGGGUAGGGCUUCACACGUCAUACAAUGGUACAUACAGAGGGCCGCCAACCCGCGAGGGGGAGCUAAUCCCAGAAAGUGUAUCGUAGUCCGGAUUGUAGUCUGCAACUCGACUGCAUGAAGUUGGAAUCGCUAGUAAUCGCGGAUCAGCAUGUCGCGGUGAAUAC
rnacentral:rRNA from 1 species